CGGAGCCGUAUGACGCGAGAGUGUCACGUACGGUUCCUUUGAGAAGGGUGUGAUACCACCACCUAUCAGGCCCGACGAGCGGUCCACGGAGCUGCAUCCUUACUCACC
rfam:Vitis vinifera complete mitochondrial genome, cultivar Pinot noir clone ENTAV115